rnacentral:lncRNA from 1 species
CACGAACACUUUAUUUACGAAAUGUAAUUAAAUUAAAAAAAACUUUCAGUUGGCAAGGGAUUCUUUAAAAAAAGGGUCCAGUACAAACAAUAAUUAGUGAAAAUAAAUUGUUAUGCACUCCUUUACAUAGAAAUGGUAUAAUUUGUCGGUCUAUGUAUAUUCCAUUUCACUAUUCUUAAAAGAUGAUACUUGUUUAUAUGCCUGAUCAUUGACUGCAUGCAUAUAAACAGUUAUGGGCAAUAAAAACAAAGUAUUUCUAAUAUAUCGUGUUUAUUUUCGUAUUUAAAUCGAAAGAGAAAUUAUUUAAACGAAUUUUACUUGAAAACGAGUUCUCUAAUAACGAUUAAGAUAUCAAAUAAACGUCUAUAUUGUAAUCUGUCUCUUUCAUGUUCUAUAUCAUAUUGUACUUAAUUUGAACGACAUCAACAUAAAUACAUGACAUACUAACUUUUAUCUUCUGGCUAAUCAUAAUUAUGUAAGUGAUGUCAGAUAAGGAUCAACUCAUUCAAAUCAUUCACUAUUCCGUAUCUACAUGCAAAAUACUAGUUCAUUUCCUCAAUAUAAAGCAGCAAAGUAGUACAAUGCAACAACAUUGAGAAAUUUACAAACGACAAUAACUAAAAUUGGUCGUUAACAUGUUGUUUGUUUUACAAUUCAGUGCAACAAAUAUCUUACACAUAUUUCUGACGAUGUUUCAUAGGUGGUUAAACGUGUACAAUGACUUCACAUUUAAAUAUGAUAAUACAACUCUUCUCUUUUAUUUACAAAUAUUUUAAUAGUAUUUUAAAUGAAUUGCAUUUUAAUUGUUUGCACUACGUAAACCUUUGUUUUCAGGGUUUUCCCUACAUGCAAAUGUCAAUACUCAGUCAAAAAAUUAUGGUUCCCGCAUAUUACAAGUAUUGAAUUAUGUUGGUUUUAUCCUUUUUCAUUUCAUGCUUUGAAUUUAAAUGGUUACGAUACUUUGACUUUUGAAAACUGCCCUUCAUCGAUAUAGUUUGUAUUAAUAUAUAGAAAAGAAUAUCUUAAAGUCAUGUAAACAUCAUGUGACAAAUAAGGAAAAAAAGUAAAACACUCAGAAAUAUUUGACAGUCAAAUGGAACACACAAAAUACCAACAACGUAAGACAAACAAUCAUGCACAACAAGCGAAACACCACAAUAUUCGUCCUCAGUUUUUUUC